rnacentral:rRNA from 1 species
UACGUAGGGUCCGAGCGUUGUCCGGAAUUACUGGGCGUAAAGAGCUCGUAGGUGGUUUGUCGCGUUGUCCGUGAAAAACUCACAACUCAAUUGUGGGCGUGCGGGCGAUACGGGCAGACUGGAGUACUGCAGGGGAGACUGGAAUUCCUGGUGUAGCGGUGGAAUGCGCAGAUAUCAGGAGGAACACCGGUGGCGAAGGCGGGGUCUCUGGGCAGUAACUGACGCUGAGGAGCGAAAGCGUGGGGAGCGAACAGG